CAGUAGCCGCGGGAAUACGAAGGGUGCAAGCGUUAAUCGGAAUUACUGGGCGUAAAGCGUGCGUAGGCGGCUUCUUAAGUCGGAUGUGAAAUCCCUGAGCUUAACUUAGGAAUUGCAUUCGAUACUGGGAAGCUAGAGUAUGGGAGAGGAUGGUAGAAUUCCAGGUGUAGCGGUGAAAUGCGUAGAGAUCUGGAGGAAUACCGAUGGCGAAGGCAGCCAUCUGGCCUAAUACUGACGCUGAGGUACGAAAGCAUGGGGAGCAAACAGGAUUAGAUACCCCCGUAGUCCCUGUCUCUUAUAC
rnacentral:rRNA from 1 species